rnacentral:tRNA from 1 species
UCCGAAUUGGUGUAUCAGCUAGCAUUUCCGCCUUUCAAUCUGCUAAUCGAAGCGCGCGGGACAGACGGGUUCGAUUCCCGUAUUCGGAA